UACGUAGGGGGCAAGCGUUGUUCGGAAUUACUGGGCGUAAAGGGCGCGUAGGCGGCACGGCAAGUCAGGAGUGAAAGGCCUGGGCUCAACCGAGGAACUGCUUUUGAGACUGCCGAGCUAGAGUGCAGAAGGGGCAACUGGAAUUCCCAGUGUAGCGGUGAAAUGCGUAGAUAUUGGGAAGAACACCUGAGGCGAAGGCGGGUUGCUGGGCUGACGACUGACGCUGAGCGCGAAGCCAGGGGAGCGAAACGGGA
rnacentral:rRNA from 1 species